rnacentral:rRNA from 1 species
AUUGAACGCUGGCGGAAUGCUUUACACAUGCAAGUCGAACGGCAGCACGGACUUCGGUCUGGUGGCGAGUGGCGAACGGGUGAGUAAUGUAUCGGAACGUGCCCAGUUGUGGGGGAUAACGUAGUGAAAAUUACGCUAAUACCGCAUACGAUCUAUGGAUGAAAGCGGGGGAUCGCAAGACCUCGCGCGAUUGGAGCGGCCGAUAUCAGAUUAGGUAGUUGGUGGGGUAAAGGCCCACCAAGCCAACGAUCUGUAGCUGGUCUGAGAGGAAGACCAGCCACACUGGAACUGAGACACGGUACAGACUCCUACGGGAGGCAGCAGUGGGGAAUUUUGGACAAUGGGCGAAAGCCUGAUCCAGCCAUUCCGCGUGCAGGAUGAAGGCCCUCGGGUUGUAAACUGCUUUUGUACAGAACGAAAGGGUUUCUACUAAUACUAGGAGCUCAUGACGGUACUGUAAGAAUAAGCACCGGCUAACUACGUGCCAGCCGCCGCCGUAA